rnacentral:rRNA from 1 species
CGUGAGAUGUUGGGUUAAGUCCCGCAACGAGCGCAACCCUUGUAUUUAGUUGCUACGCAAGAGCACUCUAGAUAGACUGCCGUGGACAACACGGAGGAAGGUGGGGAUGACGUCAAAUCAUCAUGCCCCUUAUGACCUGGGCUACACACGUACUACAAUGGCAAUGGAACAGAGGGAAGCGACUCAGCGAUGAGAAGCAGAUCCCGAAAAAUUGUCUCAGCUCGGAUUGCAGGCUGCAACCCGCCUGCA